GACGGAGGAUGCAAGUGUUAUCCGGAAUCACUGGGCGUAAAGCGUCUGUAGGUGGUUAAAUAAGUCAACUGUUAAAUCUUGAGGCUCAACUUCAAAAUCGCAGUCGAAACUAUUAGACUAGAGUAUAGUAGGGGUAAAGGGAAUUUCCAGUGGAGCGGUGAAAUGCGCAGAGAUUGGAAAGAACACCAAUGGCGAAAGCACUCUGCUGGGCCGACACUGACACUGAGAGACGAAAGCUAGGGGAGCAAAUGGG
rnacentral:rRNA from 1 species